rnacentral:rRNA from 1 species
UUUCUACAGGCUUAACACAUGCAAGUCGAGGGGCAGCAUGGUCUUAGCUUGCUAAGGCCGAUGGCGACCGGCGCACGGGUGAGUAACACGUAUCCAACCUGCCGUCUACUCUUGGACAGCCUUCUGAAAGGAAGAUUAAUACAAGAUGGCAUCAUGAGUCCGCAUGUUCACAUGAUUAAAGGUAUUCCGGUAGACGAUGGGGAUGCGUUCCAUUAGAUAGUAGGCGGGGUAACGGCCCACCUAGUCUUCGAUGGAUAGGGGUUCUGAGAGGAAGGUCCCCCACAUUGGAACUGAGACACGGUCCAAACUCCUACGGGAGGCAGCAGUGAGGAAUAUUGGUCAAUGGGCGAGAGCCUGAACCAGCCAAGUAGCGUGAAGGAUGACUGCCCUAUGGGUUGUAAACUUCUUUUAUAAAGGAAUAAAGUCGGGUAUGCAUACCCGUUUGCAUGUACUUUAUGAAUAAGGAUCGGCUAACUCCGUGCCAGCAGCCGCGGUAAUACGGAGGAUCCGAGCGUUAUCCGGAUUUAUUGGGUUUAAAGGGAGCGUAGAUGGAUGUUUAAGUCAGUUGUGAAAGUUUGCGGCUCAACCGUAAAAUUGCAGUUGAUACUGGAUAUCUUGAGUGCAGUUGAGGCAGGCGGAAUUCGUGGUGUAGCGGUGAAAUGCUUAGAUAUCACGAAGAACUCCGAUUGCGAAGGCAGCCUGCUAAGCUGCAACUGACAUUGAGGCUCGAAAGUGUGGGUAUCAAACAGGAUUAGAUACCCUGGUAGUCCACACGGUAAACGAUGAAUACUCGCUGUUUGCGAUAUACAGCAAGCGGCCAAGCGAAAGCGUUAAGUAUUCCACCUGGGGAGUACGCCGGCAACGGUGAAACUCAAAGGAAUUGACGGGGGCCCGCACAAGCGGAGGAACAUGUGGUUUAAUUCGAUGAUACGCGAGGAACCUUACCCGGGCUUAAAUUGCAGAUGAAUUACGGUGAAAGCCGUAAGCCGCAAGGCAUCUGUGAAGGUGCUGCAUGGUUGUCGUCAGCUCGUGCCGUGAGGUGUCGGCUUAAGUGCCAUAACGAGCGCAACCCUUGUUGUCAGUUACUAACAGGUUCCGCUGAGGACUCUGACAAGACUGCCAUCGUAAGAUGUGAGGAAGGUGGGGAUGACGUCAAAUCAGCACGGCCCUUACGUCCGGGGCUACACACGUGUUACAAUGGGGGGUACAGAGGGCCGCUACCACGCGAGUGGAUGCCAAUCCCAAAAACCUCUCUCAGUUCGGACUGGAGUCUGCAACCCGACUCCACGAAGCUGGAUUCGCUAGUAAUCGCGCAUCAGCCACGGCGCGGUGAAUACGUUCCCGGGCCUUGUACACACCGCCCGUCAAGCCAUGGGAGCCGGGGGUACCUGAAGUGCGUAACCGCGAGGAGCGCCCUAGGGUAAAACUGGUGACUGGGGCUAA